GGGGGCGUUUAGAUUCGACAGGGCUGUUGGGUCGUAAGUUGCAAGCCGGGGAGCUUGUGCCUCGUUAAUAAAUAAGCAAAAACAAAGAUGCCAAUAACGUCAUCGAUUUCACCGCCAAGCGUCAAGCUAAGCUUGCGCUUGCUGCCUAAUUUAACUUAGGCGCGGUACUCGACCGCUUCCUGACUACCCGAAGCGCAAGGGUAAACCAUGGUAGUUGCCCGGGUGCAAAGUUAGCGAGUGCUAGCACCUGUUAAGCCAUAAUCGCGAACCCGGUCGGCGGUCUGAGCCGCCUUCAGCGGACCCACAAGGUGACUGAGGAAAUAUCAGACUAAGCUUGUAGUAACUUGCUUCUCGGCGACUUUGGACGCGAGUGCGAUUCUCGCCGCCUCCACCA
rnacentral:tmRNA from 1 species